ensembl:ncRNA E04D5.7 ncRNA
UCCCAAUGGCAAAUAUAUUCUGUUUUGAGGGAAAUUGGCGUAGAGGUUGUCUGGUACAAAAAAAACAAGAAGGGGGGGGGGGGGGCAGGAAAAAGUACUGCAUUCGAAUUUUGAUAUUUAAAUUCAUAACAAAUAACUAGACAAGAUUUACCUACGGAUAUAUAGAAGUAAUUAACAACAAUAACAAAGUUAAAGCUCAGUGUGUUUUAUAUUUUGAAAAAUAA